UACAUGGUCUACCAACCCCUCAUUUAAGUA
rnacentral:piRNA from 1 species